GUGGCAACACAGUGGUAGCUGCACUCCUUGUAAGUCUUUGCUAAUAGCUGUUGCCUCUGUUCUCUUGAAACUCUUUGAGCCUAGGAUCAGACACAAAGACUGAGCUCUGGGCCUAUGAUCCUAGUUUGUCCUUGAAGUAUGAGGCUGGUGACUGGAAUAACUGCGUUUCUGACCUUGGGGACUGUGAUUGAUGCUCAGAUCACCCAGCCCAAUUCCGUGGAUUGUGCUGAAGGAGAAGAUGUAAACUUGCCUUGUAACCACUCUACCAUCGUUAGAGAAGAGUAUGUAUAUUGGUAUCGGCAAAAUCCCAACCAGAGUCCACAGUUUAUAAUUCAUGGAUUACGAAACAAUGUGACCAACAAUAUGGCCUCUCUGACCAUCGCAACAGACAGAAAGUCCAGUAUCUUGAUCCUGCCCCAGGUCACCCUGAGAGACACCGCUGUGUACUACUGCGCUGUGAGAGAGGCACAUUGGGACAGAUGGGGCUGCACCUGUGCAAUAUCUCUCUGGGGUGUGGGAGUUGGGGGGGAGGAGGGGUGACUGCAGCCAGAGAGC